GAAUGCAACGAUCACCAGUUCCAUAGAUAAUGAAACAACAGGAAGGCAAGCAAAACAGUAAAAGGAUACUGGGCAAGGCAAUUUUUUGGGUGGCCGAAACAACUCCGGAUGCAUCUAACAAGAUGGGCAUUUUCCAGUGAUAAAUUCCAGCCUACAAGUAGAAUACGAUGUGGUUAGCCUUCAUAGGCAGCGUAUCAUAUGCCAUUUUAUCAACGUGCAGGUCAACUGGGACGAAUUACAAAGGUAGUAACUUUUGUGUUAAAAAAACAUGACAAGGACACUGAUGUUAUUAGAAUAUAACCAAAGUAUUUAAUCUAUAGUUUGCAAUAUAAAGCAACCAACUUUGCUUCACAAAACAUAGUGAACACCUAAUACGUCAGGUUAUUCAUACGAUGUUUGCGAUAUACCUAUACGCGUUCCAUUCAAUGUUUGUGACAUACCCGCGCCGCAACGCGCUCGGGUCUGACCACUAGUUAGUAAGAAGAAGAUAGCUGCAAUAAUAUAUGGGGAAGCCAUUUGAGAGAAUGGAUUUGAUGAUGGGUAUGAAGUUGAAAGAUGGAAUGCAAAUAAAAGGGCAUGAAGGAGGCUUAUAUAGUGUUUGAGGUAAGCCGCGUGGUGAAGAUGUCUUUGUUUGAUCAACAGUUGUAUGAUGGGCUGACUUUGUCCUUUGCUCGUUCACGCAUGGAAGCUCAGCAAAAUGUUAAAAUUUGACAUUCUCACCAAGUCAAUAAAGUUACUCCUCUAUUCAAAUAUUAAACUAACACAUGCAUCCACUACAGCACUACUUUUCUUUUGUCCCAAGAUGACUACAUAUAUAAAAGAGUUUACUAGCUAUAAAUAACAUUAUAAAUGUUAUUAAUAGUUAUAAGUUAUAUUAUGACAUGUUUAUAAAUAUAGCGAUCUAAUAUAUUUAUUUCACACGCUUGACGCUUGCUAGCUUUAAUAUGAUUUUAUCCCAACUCUAGAAGCAAAAUAAUUAGGCUGACAAUAUCAUG